GAUGAACGCUGGCGGCGUGCUUAACACAUGCAAGUCGAACGGAAAGGCUCCUGCUUACAGGGGCACUCGAGUGGCGAACGGGUGAGUAACACGUGGGUGAUCUGCCCUGCACUUCGGGAUAAGCCUGGGAAACUGGGUCUAAUACCGGAUAGGACCAUCGUUUAGUGUCGGUGGUGGAAAGUUUUUUCGGUGUGGGAUGAGCUCGCGGCCUAUCAGCUUGUUGGUGGGGUAAUGGCCUACCAAGGCGUCGACGGGUAGCCGGCCUGAGAGGGUGUACGGCCACAUUGGGACUGAGAUACGGCCCAGACUCCUACGGGAGGCAGCAGUGGGGAAUAUUGCACAAUGGGCGCAAGCCUGAUGCAGCGACGCCGCGUGGGGGAUGACGGCCUUCGGGUUGUAAACUCCUUUCGCCAGGGACGAAGCGAAAGUGACGGUACCUGGAUAAGAAGCACCGGCUAACUACGUG
rnacentral:rRNA from 1 species